ACUACUUGUCACAUACCAUAUUUGUCGCAUGCAUGUUUAAAAGUCUCGUUUUCUACACAAUUACUGCCAACAUUUUCUACUUUUGUCAUUUCUUUUUUAUUACCCUCAUUGAAAACGAGAGGUUUAUCAAGAUGGAAACAAACUUCUCUACACUUUCAAAUGUUGUUUUUGAUGUGGUAUUUACUAAAAGUAUUUGAGUCCUUUCAAGCACAGACCUGACUUUUCCUUGCUCCAACAGAAAAAGGAUACUUAAGCCAGCUGGAAGAGUUCUCAUACAAUGGAAUAUUAUUCAGCCUCAGAAAGGAAUGAAAUUCUGACACAUGCUACAACAUGGAUGAACCUUGAAGACAUUUAGCUAAGUGAAGGACCAGAAGACCAUAAAGGUUUGGGAAUAAAAAUGAAAGCCAGCACCCACAGCAAUAAAAGUCUCAAGGUCCAUCCAGUCAUAAAACCCAGGUAGGCCUCUCACUGUUGUGGCC